CCACCAAGAGGGGCCCUAGGAGGGGCAGGGCCCCAACAGAGUGACACAGCAAACCAACCCCACGUUCUGUCCAGUCAACAGCCCUUCACCUCUGCCCUCCACUUCAAAUACUGAAUUUUGCAAGUGGGGUUGGAUUUGGGGUGCAGUGAGCACUAUUUUGUCAGAAACACCUGCCACUUGUCCAGUUUCACUACCACGCCAGCACCUGUGCCAAGAGUGAAUUCCACCUACCGCUCAGACAGCCCUAGAAGGAACAACAUCGUCCCCAUUGCACAGAGGAGGAAACUGAGGCAGAAAGGGAUGGAAGCUGGGGCUUAGAGGCCUCUUUGCACUGGAGUAACCUGUGGGCAUUGAUGGGUUGGAGACCCCACUAAAUCCUUACAAAGACCCCAGAGAGCUGAAGAGGCGAUCUCCCUUGGAAAGAGGCU